AUGGCUCAGAUUGAACGCUGGCGGCAGGCCUAACACAUGCAAGUCGAACGGUAACAGGAAGCAGCUUGCUGCUUCGCUGACGAGUGGCGGACGGGUGAGUAAUGUCUGGGAAACUGCCUGAUGGAGGGGGAUAACUACUGGAAACGGUGGCUAAUACCGCAUAACGUCGCAAGACCAAAGAGGGGGACCUUCGGGCCUCUUGCCAUCAGAUGUGCCCAGAUGGGAUUAGCUAGUUGGUGAGGUAACGGCUCACCAAGGCGACGAUCCCUAGCUGGUCUGAGAGGAUGACCAGCCACACUGGAACUGAGACACGGUCCAGACUCCUACGGGAGGCAGCAGUGGGGAAUAUUGCACAAUGGGCGCAAGCCUGAUGCAGCCAUGCCGCGUGUAUGAAGAAGGCCUUCGGGUUGUAAAGUACUUUCAGCGGGGAGGAAGGUGUUGUGGUUAAUAACCGCAGCAAUUGACGUUACCCGCAGAAGAAGCACCGGCUAACUCCGUGCCAGCAGCCGCGGUAAUACGGAGGGUGCAAGCGUUAAUCGGAAUUACUGGGCGUAAAGCGCACGCAGGCGGUCUGUCAAGUCGGAUGUGAAAUCCCCGGGCUCAACCUGGGAACUGCAUUCGAAACUGGCAGGCUUGAGUCUUGUAGAGGGGGGUAGAAUUCCAGGUGUAGCGGUGAAAUGCGUAGAGAUCUGGAGGAAUACCGGUGGCGAAGGCGGCCCCCUGGACAAAGACUGACGCUCAGGUGCGAAAGCGUGGGGAGCAAACAGGAUUAGAUACCCUGGUAGUCCACGCCGUAAACGAUGUCUACUUGGAGGUUGUGCCCUUGAGGCGUGGCUUCCGGAGCUAACGCGUUAAGUAGACCGCCUGGGGAGUACGGCCGCAAGGUUAAAACUCAAAUGAAUUGACGGGGGCCCGCACAAGCGGUGGAGCAUGUGGUUUAAUUCGAUGCAACGCGAAGAACCUUACCUGGUCUUGACAUCCACAGAACUUUCCAGAGAUGGAUUGGUGCCUUCGGGAACUGUGAGACAGGUGCUGCAUGGCUGUCGUCAGCUCGUGUUGUGAAAUGUUGGGUUAAGUCCCGCAACGAGCGCAACCCUUAUCCUUUGUUGCCAGCGGUUAGGCCGGGAACUCAAAGGAAACUGCCAGUGAUAAACUGGAGGAAGGUGGGGAUGACGUCAAGUCAUCAUGGCCCUUACGACCAGGGCUACACACGUGCUACAAUGGCGCAUACAAAGAGAAGGGACCUCGCGAGAGCAAGCGGACCUCAUAAAGUGCGUCGUAGUCCGGAUUGGAGUCUGCAACUCGACUCCAUGAAGUCGGAAUCGCUAGUAAUCGUGGAUCAGAAUGCCACGGUGAAUACGUUCCCGGGCCUUGUACACACCGCCCGUCACACCAUGGGAGUGGGUUGCAAAAGAAGUAGGUAGCUUAACCUUCGGGAGGGCGCUUACCACUUUGUGAUUCAUGACUGGGGUGAAGUCGUAACAAGG
rnacentral:rRNA from 1 species